AUUGAACGCUGGCGGCAUGCUUUACACAUGCAAGUCGAACGGUAACAGGGUGCUUGCACCGCUGACGAGUGGCGAACGGGUGAGUAAUGCGUCGGAACGUGCCGAGUAGUGGGGGAUAACGCAGCGAAAGUUGUGCUAAUACCGCAUCGGUACUGAGGUAGAAAGUGGGGGACCUUCGGGCCUCACGCUAUUCGAGCGGCCGACGUCUGAUUAGCUAGUAGGUGAGGUAAAGGCUCACCUAGGCGACGAUCAGUAGCGGGUCUGAGAGGAUGAUCCGCCACCCUGGGACUGAGACACGGCCCAGACUCCUACGGGAGGCAGCAGUGGGGAAUUUUGGACAAUGGGCGAAAGCCUGAUCCAGCCAUGCCGCGUGUCUGAAGAAGGCCUUCGGGUUGUAAAGGACUUUUGUCAGGGAGGAAAUCCCUAGUGCUAAUAACACUGGGGGAUGACAGUACCUGAAGAAUAAGCACCGGCUAACUACGUGCCAGCCGCCGCGGUAA
rnacentral:rRNA from 1 species